ensembl:lncRNA
CAGUUCUGAAAAUAUACAUUUCAUGUAAGAAGUUCCUGCCUACAAAUUCAUUUGUAGAGGUUUUUUUUUUUUUUUCAGCUCUCUCCCCAGUGUUAGGAUGCAUUUUCCAAAGCACAUAAUCACCUGUGCUCUUAUUUAUGAUAUUCUGAUUGGUAUGUCUUCAGUAUUGCUACUUAAUGUUCACACAAGGAUACAUGUGUGCUAUUUGAGUUUUCAUUGUGUAACGCGGAGUCAGAGUCAUUCAGAACCAUAUGCAUUAGUUUAUUAAAGAAUGGUCAGACAGGCAGAAAUCAGGAACAGCAUCAAGUGUGUCAAGGGAUAUCCAAAAACAGCAACAAUACCAGGCAGAGGUCGGGGAAGGUGGCAGAGAAUCACAGGCAGUAUAAACAAUCCAAAGUCAGACACGGGAGGAACAAACACAAGGAGAAACGCUCGGAAUUGACAGACUGGGCUAGAACAAGACUUCGCAAUCAUUGAGAGUCCAAACACGAGUCCUGAGUCCUGAGUGGUGUGCCCUCUAUUGGAGUUCAUGGGCACUCCAGCUGAAGAUUGUGACAUAGCCCCUCAACUAAGGAGUGGCUUCCAGACACUCCUAACUGAGAGUAGACCAGAGUUCAGGUGGGAGAACUGGAGCCCCACCCCCCCCCGCCCACGGGGUGGCGCAGGCGGAACUGGAGCCCACCGGGGCGGCGCGGGCAGAACUGGAACCCACCGGGGCUGAGCAGAGGACCACCACAACCGAGAAGACGAGACAGAUGCCCACCAGGGUGGAGCAGAGGACCACCACAGCCGAGCAGGUGAGACAGAUGCCCACCAGGGCGGAGCAGAGGACCACCACAGCCGAGCAGAUGAAACAGAUGCCCACCAGGGCAGAGCAGAGGACCACCACAGUCGAUCAGACGGGACUGAAACAGAGAACAUAAACAGAUUAAUGGUGGCCUCCGUGGCUGUGAUAAGGCGGGUAGAAAGUUCCCACAUGGCCUCCAUAGCUGAGACAGGGCAGGCAGAGAGUUCACAGAUGGCCUCCAUAGCAGUGGCAGGACAGAACGAGAGUUCAUAAACGGCCUCCAUUGUUGUGACAGGACAGGCCGUGAGUUCAUGGAUGGCCUCCGUGGCCGUGACAGGACAAGCAGUGAGUUCCUGAGCAGCCUCCGUGGCCAUAACAGGACAGGCAAUGAGUUUAUGGAUGGAUACUACUGACACCUCCGAAUGUUCUGCAGCAGUAGCCGCCACCUCUGGAGGUUCCACAGCAGUACCAGUCUCUUUGCCAGCAACACAACAGGCUGAGAGAACAUUGCUUGGCCCAACAGACAGGAUGAGACGAGGCUCUGGAUGAUUAGCUAAGACGUGACGAGGCUCUGGAAACUCAGCGGGGACUUUACUUGACUCUGAAAGAUCAACAGGGACCUGACUUGACUCCGGAAGGUCAACGGGGACCUGACUUGACUCCGGAAGAUCAACUGUGGCUGCUUUUUCUGGAGAAAGUGCCACGACCCGACCUCCCUUUAGAGGGCGCAUGCGCGGAGUGGGGCCAUUUUGAGCUGGGGUGCCAGGCUGGUGGCCAUUUUGAGCUGGGGUGCAGGGCUGGCAGCCCUCUUGUGACAGGCAGAGGUCGGGGCAGGCGGCAGAGAAUCACAGGCAGUAUAAACAAUCCAAAGUCAGACACGGGAGGAACAAACACAAGGAGAAACGCUCAGAAUUGACAGACUGGGCUAGAACAAGACUUCGCAAUCAUUGAGAGUCCAAACACAGUUUAUAUAGGGGAGUGGUAAAUGGGGAACUGCUGGUGGUGAUUAGCCCUAAGCACGGGAUUAUGGGAGAUGGAGUUAGAAAUGGAAAUGGACACCACAUGCAAGAGUCCUGAGUGGUGUGCCCUCUACUGGAGUUCAUGGGCACUCCAGCUGAAGAUUAUGACACAUUGUGACACUUGAGUUAAUUAUAUUGCGAUUGUAUAUUAAACCUUUUCCAAAUAAGGGCAUUUUGUAUAGAUUUAGGUUGAAAAAGUGUACAAAUUGGAAUGUGUGUGUAAACGGGUGAAAUGUCUAAAACAUUUUGAGAAAUGUCUUUGUUUUGAGAACUGAAUGAUUGGUUUGGGAAACUGUGCCAACUGAAUCAGUUAUGGCGUGUUAGCAAUCAAGAAAAACUUUAAUAGUGGUGAUCAUAGUACAUUAUAACUGCCCAAAACAGGACUAAACAUACAGGAAGUGAAAUAAAAAAGAAAACCCUUAAAACA